CCUACGGGUGACAGCAGUGGGGAAUAUUGGGCAAUGGGCGCAAGCCUGACCCAGCAACGCCGCGUGAGGGAAGAAGGCUUUCGGGUUGUAAACUUCUUUUCGCAGGGAAGAAGAAAGUGACGGUACCGGAGGAAGAAGCGACGGCUAACGAAGCGCCAGCAGCCGCUGUAAGACGUAGGUGGCAAGCGUUAUCAGGAUUUACUGGGUUGAACGGGGGCGUAGGCGGCAGAGCAAGGCUGAGGUGAAAGCCCGCGGCUCAACGGCGGGACUGCUUUGGAAACUGCCCGGCUAGGGUGCUGUAGAGCUAAGUGGAAUUCCUAGUGUAGCGGUGCAAUGCGUCGAUAUUAGGAGGAACACCAGUGGCGAAGGCGGCUUACUGGACAGUACCUGACGUUGAGGCUCG
rnacentral:rRNA from 1 species